rnacentral:rRNA from 1 species
UACGGGGGGGCAAGCGUUGUUCGGAAUUACUGGGCGUAAAGGGCUCGUAGGCGGCCAACUAAGUCGGAUGUGAAAUCCCCAGGCUUAACUUGGGAACUGCAUCCGAUACUGGAUGGCUUGAAUCCGGGAGAGGGAUGCGGAAUUCCAGGUGUAGCGGUGAAAUGCGUAGAUAUCUGGAGGAACACCGGUGGCGAAGGCGGCAUCCUGGACCGGCAUUGACGCUGAUGAGCGAAAGCCAGGGGAGCAAACGGG